UACGUAGGGUGCGAGCGUUAAUCGGAAUUACUGGGCGUAAAGCGCUCGUAGGCGGCCUGUUGCGUCCGCUGUGAAAGCCCGGGGCUUAACCCCGGGUCUGCAGUGGAUACGGGCAGGCUAGAGGUAGGUAGGGGAGAAUGGAAUUCCCGGUGUAGCGGUGAAAUGCGCAGAUAUCGGGAGGAACACCGGUGGCGAAGGCGGUUCUCUGGGCCUUACCUGACGCUGAGGAGCGAAAGCGUGGGGAGCGAACAGG
rnacentral:rRNA from 1 species